UUGGCCACAGGAUUUGAGGGAAGCCAUUAAAGAAUUAGUUGAAAUGGUUUAGCCAUUUCAUCCCUUGUGUUUAGCCUGCACUCACGUCUAUCCUUCCUUUUAUCUUUCCUUUUCACCUGCUCAGCCCUCAGCCACCAGUGGUGCUGCAACCCACGACCCCCAAGGAAGCCCACCCGGGGGUGGAUGCACACAACACAUGAGCAGAGAACACAGAGGCUUCAGGCCUUUGUCUCCUCUCACCCCGGAACCUGGGGUCAGUCAGAAGGGAAGGAUCCAGAACAUGUGGGGUAGGGGGUGGUGGAGAACCUGCAGAUCCUCAUGAGAGGAGACCAAGGAAGAUGGGAGAGUUGAGAGAAAGGGAAAGUAGAGGAGAACAGGGUCGGGAGUGGGCGGUGGAAAAACUAGAAGGGAGAUGAGGAUGGAAUUAGCUGAAAGGGAAGGGAAGGCCCUCCAGCAUUUUCCGAACAAUGCUGUUAUGUCCUCCUACUCUUUCGUCAAGAGAGAAUUUCAUAAGACGUAUGAAGACGUGUCUGGAGAGCCUCUUUAAUCUACACACUGAACCCCAGUGGGACGGAACCCCGUUUACUUGGAGCCCCACUGCCUUCCUUCAGAGAACCGCUAACAGGCACCUGCCACCAUCUGUGUGCAGGUUCAAAAUCGUGGAGAAGUAUCCUGAUUCCUAGAGAUUCAUGGGGACCAACAGAUGGAGUCCAGGAAGUAGGGUUUAUACAAACUGUUGCUAGAAGCCUAGAUGAGUGCGGGCCCUCCUGUCAGAAGAAGAGAACAACGUGCCUAAAACUAGGAAAUGGGAGCUAGUUCCAGGGAGAUGGAGCCGUGGUCAUCUCCAGAGUGUGGCAAGCAUCGCACGGUGCUGUAUUUAUAAGGAAGAAAUAAUAAGUACUGUGAAUUGUUGUGUUGUUUAAACUAAUGAGGAGGGAUCCCUGGGUGGCGCAGCGGUUUGGCGCCUGCCUUUGGCCCAGGGCACGAUCCUGGAGACCCAGGAUCGAAUCCCACGUCAGGCUCCCGGUGCAUGGAGCCUGCUUCUCCCUCUGUGUCUCUGCCUCUCUCUCUGUGUGUGUGUGACUAUCAUGAAUAAAAAACAAAACAAAAAAAAUUUAAACUAAUGA
rnacentral:lncRNA from 1 species